CAUCUCCUACGGGGCGCAGCAGUGAGGAAUAUUGGUCAAUGGACGAGAGUCUGAACCAGCCAAGCAGCGUGAAGGAUGACUGCCCUAUGGGUUGUAAACUUCUUUUAUAAAGGAAUAAGACGAGGCACGUGUGCCUUUUUGCAUGUACUUUAUGAAUAAGGAUCGGCUAACUCCGUGCCAGCAGCCGCGGUAAUACGGAGGAUCCGAGCGUUAUCCGGAUUUAUUGGGUUUAAAGGGAGCGUAGAUGGGUUGUUAAGUCAGUUGUGAAAGUUUGCGGCUCAACCGUAAAAUUGCAAUUGAUCAUG
rnacentral:rRNA from 1 species